CUAGGGCAUAUGGAGGUUCCCAGGCCGGGGGUUGAAUCGGAGCUGUAGUCGCUGGCCUAUGGUACAGCCACAGCAACAUCAGAUCUGAGUCACAUCUGUGACCUACACCGCAGCUCACGGCAACAACGGAUCCUUAACCCACUGAGUGAGGCCAGGGAUUGAACCUGCAUCCUCAUGGAUGUAGUCAGAUUCAUUUCCACUGAGCCACGAUGGGAACUCUGAGAGCAGAUCUUAAAAGUGCUCAUCUUAAAAAAAAAAAAAGUGCGUCUAACUGUGCAGUGACAGAUGUUAACUUGUUUUGGUUAUCAUUUCACAAUAUAUAUAAAUAUCAAAAACACUGUAUACCUGAAAUUAAUAUAAUGUUAUACAUCAAUUAUACCUCAAUUAAAACAAACAGGAAAAGAAAAGUCUAGAGUUGUAGUUGGUUUGUUCCCCUGCACAGCUCUGGAGUGACCUAUGGGUUUUGCCUCUGGGUACUUGCAUGUGCUUUGUCCUCUGACUAGGUAGCCAUUCUACCCUUUUGGCCCAAUUAAUAUCCCUUCCUCGUUCACAGUUCAGCUUUAAUGUCACCUCCUCAGGGAAGUCUUCCCUGAUUUUGCAGACUAGCUUCAGUCCCCCUGUCAAUGUCCUUACAUCAUUCAUUCAUGUUUUUUUUCCUUCACUUAAACAUUCAAAUACUUGUCCAACAAACAUCCACAGAGCACCUUCCCUGCUCUGGGAUUUGUUCCAGACACUGGGGACACAGCCCCUGUUUUCAUGGAGCUCACCAUUUGGGGAUCAUUCAAUAAACAAAUAAACAGACAACAUAACUUCAGAUUGAUACGCGUAUGAAGUAAACAAACAGGGUGACAUGGUAAGAGAGUGCCUGGUGGGGGCUUCUCUGAGGAGGUGAUGUUUGAAUCAAUAUUGGGGGGCGGGUGUACCACACUCACGGCAUAUGGAAAUUCCCAGGCUAGGGGUCAAAUAGGAGCCACAGCUGCCGGCCUAUACCACAGAGCCAUAGGAAGAUCUGGAAAAGAUGAGGGAGAGGGAGCAGCAAGUGCAAAGGCCUUGGGGCAGGAACAUACCCGGCAUAACUGAGAAACAGCCAGGAGGCCACUGCGGCUGGAAGCACAUGGGGAAAAGUGAGCUCAGAAACUUAAGGCGGUGGCAGGUUGUGCAGGGCCUUGAGGCCACACUAAGUCUCAGCUCUCAUCGCUAUUUGCAGUUCUGCUUUUUCACCACUAUUGGAGUGGCGUUUUGCUUUUGAUUGUGAGUUC
rnacentral:lncRNA from 1 species